rnacentral:rRNA from 1 species
AUGGCGCCGGAUGAGGCUGUGGCCGGCGUCGAGUGUGUCUGCCCUGCCAAAAGAAAGGCGGAGGCUUUCGCCGGAGAGGAGUGUUCGCGCGCCGCCAAGAGGCUCGACUGCUCCGAGGGAGACAAGGAUGCACCGGCAGGGACGGUCCAACGAAAAAAGAUGUGGCGGCUGCCACUGGAGGAGAUCAAGUGGAUCCUUGCACAGCCGAACGAACCUGUUUGGGCUGAGAUCCGGGAGCUCAAGCGCGCCAACCCGUCGCUGCUGCCAUCGCCUGAGGAGGAGAAGGAUGAGGCAAUGGUGCUGCUGUACGCAUGUGCUCGCGACUGCUAUGAGGAUGAAGAGAAGUUCGCGCGAUUCCAGGCCUGGGUCCGCAGCGAGUACGCCUCCAUGGGAUUCGUGGAGGUCGACUACGACUACUUCGGUGAGAGGGCCGAGGCGACGAGGCUGAGCAAGGAGGCACGGGAGGAGGUGUUCAGAGACACGGAUCUUUCUUCAGACAGCGAGGACGACGACGAGUUGAAGCAUCUCAAGAGAACAGUUAGGAGCUGGGUCUGAAAUCCAUAGUUCUAUCUAUUUCAGGUUUCUGAUGCUGGUGGCCUGUCACGGCAUCGGAGCUACUACCUCCUCUUGUCUUAUCUUGUAACCCUGCUGGUGCAGCAAUUCUUUGUACUGAUGCCCGUGUGCGCCCAUGUCGCAAGAGGCUAGUACGAGCAAGUAUUGUUUGUUCAGUAAAAAUUGAUAUACCGGAUUGCAAGGAGUCAGCCUCUAGCAAGUUUGUCCCUGCUAUCAUUUGCUGUCAUUAGCAACUUCAUCAAAUGCCUAUUCUGUUGCUCAAGCUUCUUCGUCUGAUUGCAGCUGUAAUCUCUAGCCUCUGUGUGCUUCGUGAUAAUCUACUGAAACUAUUCCAGAUAUAUAUUAGGCGCUGAUAGGCGCCGGCGCACCGGCCGAACAGUUGGACCGGUCAAGCCACAACCACCCGAUACAUACUUUCCCAACCAUCGGAUUACUUCAUUUCAAAAGUCAAAACGCACAGGAAACAAGGAAAAAAAGGCAUUGUGCGCAUAUGCCAGAUCCUGAGGCUCGCCGGCCGCCCGCGCUUCUCCUCGUCUUCCCGUGCUUGCUUGCCACACUUGCCACUGCGCCCGUCACCCGCGCUCGCUUGCCGCUCGCCCGUCGCUCGUGCACGGCACUUGCCUCGGCUGCCUCCGCUUGCCAUGGUCGCAACUCACACACAGGAGGGUCCAGCGCGCUGUCAUUCAUGGUUGCAGCGUCCCCCACGACCCCGUCUCCGGCUCGCCGCCCCCGUCUCCGGCUCGCUGCUGUUGUUAACUUGUACCGCCGUGUCUAGCAAAAAAAAGCAACAAAAACCUCAAGUGCUGGGUUGAAGCAAAAAGAUUUGCCGGUUCCAACAAAAAUAAAUGAUGGUUCCAGCAAAAAUCUCAGCAGUAGAAAAACUUCAGUAGUCGAUUUGUAGCAAACAAAUUAGUUAGUUCCAGCAAAAAUAAACGCCGGUUCAAACAAAAAAUCAUGCCGCUUCAAACAAAUAUUUGCUGGUUCUAGCAAUUUACAUGACGCCGUGAUGCGUGCCAUAUAAAUGGAUGUAGCAAUUGAGAACAUUGGUUGUAGCAAAAACUCAAACGGUGGUAGCAAAAAAAGUGAUGCACUGGUUCCACCAAAAAAACAUGGUAGCACAAAAAUUGACUGGUUCUAGCAAAAGCAAAGAUGGAGGUAGCAAAAAUGUACACUGGUUGUACCAAAAGCAAAUGACAUGGUAGCAAAGUUUUGGGUUGGUUCCAUCAAAAAACGAACAUGGUGGUAGCAAAAAAAUUGAUUUGUUCCAACAAAAACUGAAGAUAGUGGUAGCAAAAUUGUACACUGGCUGUACCAAAAAGCAAAUGACAAGGCAGCAAAAACUUGGGUUGGUUCCAUCAAAAAACAAACAUGAUGGUAGCAAAAUCUUACACUAGUUCCAGCAAAAGGCAAGGGCGUUGGUAGCAAAAACUGGGGCUGCUUCCAAGAAAAGAAAGGCCGGAUCUCCAUCACUUGUCGCCGUGGUUGCAACGCUCCAACGCCGGCCGCCGCGGCUCUCCAUCACUUGUCGCCGCCAUCGGCAGCGCUGGUGGGGAUUGGUUGGCAGCACUAGUCACUGGUGGGGAGUGAGGGGGCGGGGUGGGGGCAGCCACGGUGGGGAAGCGCGGUGGCCAUGGUUGGCGGCACAGCCAAUCGCCGGUGGGGGAGGCGCGAUGGCCAUGGCUGGCGGCACAGCCAGUUGCCGGUGGGGGAGGCGCGAGCAUCUACAGAGAGAAAGAAAAGGGAAAGAUCGGAGGUUGCGAUGUAGACGAGAUGCGCUAUGAGCGGUUGGCGUUGUUCCUGAAGAGAUAAGAUAACGUGGGAGGUGGUCGUUCGGUG